rnacentral:lncRNA from 1 species
AGGAUAGCUGUCAGUGUUUUAGAAAGUCAAAGAAGGCUGCUGGGCUUAAAAUGUCAUGAGACCAAGAGACAGUGGAGCAAUGCAUGUUUGAAAAGGGAAAGAGAAAAGAAGCUCAGAAGGAAUUCCAAUAUUCAGAUGUGACAUAUAGAAGAAAGUGUCGACAUGAAAGAAUUAUCCGCCAGAGAAUUCAGAGGAAAAUCAAGAAUGCAUUAUAUCAUGAAAGUAAAGAAAGGAUAAUGACCCAAAAAAGAGAGAGUUGUUGUUAUGAUGAGUCUCCAAUGAACCUGCUGCAUCCCUGCUGCAUAUCUAUUAUCUGGGGUAAUCUUCCUAAAAAGCAGAGUGUCAAGCAGCAUGCCUGGUUAUUCCAACUUAUGCAGAAAUAGAAGUGUCCUAAGCUUGGGGCAAGAUGGCCGACUAGACACAGCAAGUGGAAUUACCGCCAGCAAGGGACUGAGACAACUGGCGCACUCCUAACAAAUCAUCCGAUGGAAGGCACCAGGAGUGGCCGAGGGAAGACACAGAAGGAAGCUGGGCUGAAACAGGAGGAACAUUGCACUGGGCUACCAUGCGCUGGGACUUGUUCCUGGCCCCCAAGGACUCUCAGGGAAUGGGUUUAAGGUGUACAUCUUCAGGUUCAACACAUGGACAAAUUUUGUGUUACUGAGGUUUGGCGUAUGAAUGAUCCCAUCACCCAGCUAGAAUUCAAGCCUUAGAUAUUUUGAGUUUUUAAAGGUAAGCCAACAACACAUUCUAGAAAUAAACAAGCUAUACAUGCAAAUUUCCUUUUUAACGAAACACAACAUUCACUUCUAACACAGCUCAGAAAAAUAUAUCGCUUGAGGAGAAAAUGUUAACACGCUUGCUACAUUCCAAACUGUGAAUCUGUAUGUGAUGUGUUUAGCACCAAAAAUCAGCAUUGGCACUUAUCUGAAAAAGAGUAAAUAUAUUAGUUAUUGAAAAUUCUACUCCUCCAUUAUCAUUUAUUUACGUGGAAUGUAAAAUUCCUGGGUUAUAAAAAUACAAUUUAAAUGUUAAAUUUAACCAAUUUGAUAUCUUAGGUGAUUCCAGUAAAAUGUAUUAUAUUUUUCAGUAGGUAUAGAGGAAAAAAUGUUACUGUAAUAAAGUAGCUUUAAAUAGUUAUAAA